AGUGAACGCUGGCGGCAGGCCUAACACAUGCAAGUCGAACGGCAGCACAGAGGAGCUUGCUCCUUGGGUGGCGAGUGGCGGACGGGUGAGGAAUGCAUCGGAAUCUGCCUAUUUGUGGGGGAUAACGUAGGGAAACUUACGCUAAUACCGCAUACGUCCUACGGGAGAAAGGGGGGGACCUUCGGGCCUCACGCAGAUAGAUGAGCCGAUGCCGGAUUAGCUAUUUGGCGGGGUAAAGGCCCACCAAGGCGACGAUCCGUAGCUGGUCUGAGAGGAUGAUCAGCCACACUGGAACUGAGACACGGUCCAGACUCCUACGGGAGGCAGCAGUGGGGAAUAUUGGACAAUGGGCGCAAGCCUGAUCCAGCCAUGCCGCGUGUGUGAAGAAGGCCUUCGGGUUGUAAAGCACUUUUGUCCGGAAAGAAAAGCGCUCGAUUAAUACUCGGGUGUUAUGACGGUACCGGAAGAAUAAGCACCGGCUAACUUCGUGCCAGCCGCCGCCGUAAUAC
rnacentral:rRNA from 1 species